rnacentral:rRNA from 1 species
GCAGUUCGGCUGGGCACUCUAAAGGGACUGCCGGUGUUAAACCGGAGGAAGUGGGGGAUGACGUCAAGUCCUCAUGGCCUUUAUGACCAGGGCUACACACGUACUACAAUGGCCGAUACAAAGGGCAGCGACACUGCGAGGUGAAGCCAAUCCCGUAAAAUCGGUCUCAGUCCGGAUUGGAGUCUGCAACUCGACUCCAUGAAGUUGGAAUCGCUAGUAAUCGUGGAUCAGCAUGCCACGGUGAAUACGUUCCCGGGCCUU